AAGCAAAGAUGAUGGUGCGAAUGGAGAACAGCAAGACCAGACAAUGCAUGAAAGUCAAGGGGACGCAACAGAUCCCAAGUUUUUACAGAAGCAG